rnacentral:rRNA from 1 species
CCUACGGGAGGCAGCAGUAGGGAAUCUUGCACAAUGGGCGAAAGCCUGAAGGAGCAACGCCGCGUGCAGGAUGAAGGCCUUCGGGUUGUAAACUGCUUUUAUAAGCGAGAAAUAUGAUGGUAACUUAUGAAUAAGGAUCGGCUAACUACGUGCCAGCAGCCGCGGUCAUACGUAGGAUCCGAGCAUUAUCCGGAGUGACUGGGUGUAAAGAGUUGCGUAGGUGGCAUAAUAAGUAGCGAGUGAAAUCUGGUGGCUCAACCAUUCAGACUAUUAGUUAAACUGUUAAGCUCGAGAGCGUUAGAGGUAACUGGAAUUUCUAGUGUAGUGGUGAAAUCCGUAGAUAUUAGAAAGAACACCGAUAGCGUAGGCAGGUUACUGGGACGGUUCUGACACUAAGGCACGAAAGCGUAGGGAGCAAACGGGAUUAGAUACCCUAGUAGUC